GAAAAGUUGACUAUCUCUAUGUGCAUUACAUGUUUAUGAGUCACAAAUCUUAUAGUAUGUGUGUUUGUCAAAUGCCCAAAAUUGGGUAUGAUACAAUGGAGGCAUUUGCCUAAUCUAUCAUUAACAAAUUGGCAUUAAUUGAACUCUACAAAAACAAAUCUAAAUUCUACAUACCCCCUUUAGGGACAUAAUUUUGUUUACCUCACCACUUCUAUCUGUCUCCUAUUUGGCAAGUUAUCUCAUGUUGCAUUGUAUGUUGGUAUAAAUCCUUUGGCAUGUUGGCUCUCCAUUUCUAGAGUCAUCAGUGAUUUUUGUCGUUGGUACCUAUUCCUCUUUGCAGCUAAUGACAUCAUCUCGUGUGGCAGACCAAAGUCAUAAUCAUUCUGCCUCCUCUUGUAGCAAAUGUACGCCACCAAAAGUACCACGCAAAUAAACACUAGACAUGAUAUUCCAAUUGCAACUUUACCAGCCGUAGAGAGACCAUUUUUACUCCAGAAUAACGGACAAUCAGGCAAAGUAGGUCCGCCACACAACCCUU
rnacentral:misc_RNA from 1 species